rnacentral:rRNA from 1 species
CGUUGCUCGGAAUCACUGGGCGUAAAGGGUGCGUAGGCGGUUAGUUUAGUUGGGGGUGAAAGCCCGGGGCUCAACCUCGGAAUUGCCUUCAAUACUGGCUAUCUUGAGUGUGAGAGAGGUGUGUGGAACUCCGAGUGUAGAGGUGAAAUUCGUAGAUAUUCGGAAGAACACCAGUGGCGAAGGCGACACACUGGCUCACUACUGACGCUGAGGCGCGAAAGCGUGGGGAGCAAACAGG